UACGAAGGGGGGCUAGCGUUGCUCGGAAUCAUUGGGCGUAAAGCGCGCGUAGGUGGCUUCAUAAGUCCGUUGUGAAAGUCAAAGGCUCAACCUUUGAAAGCCGAUGGAUACUGUGGAGCUAGAGUACGGAAGAGGCGAGUGGAAUUCCUGGUGUAGCGGUGGAAUGCGCAGAUAUCAGGAGGAACACCAAUAGCGAAGGCAGCUCGCUGGGACGUUACUGACACUAAGGCGCGAAAGCGUGGGGAGCGAACAGG
rnacentral:rRNA from 1 species